rnacentral:rRNA from 1 species
AUUGAACGCUGGCGGCAGGCCUAACACAUGCAAGUCGAGCGGAUAAGGGGUGCUUUUUCCUGGUUCCAGCGGCGGACGGGGGUGUAUUGCCCAGGAGUCUCCUUCCCUUGGGGGUAUAACGUCCUCAAACGGCUGCUACUACCGCAGACGACCAGAGGGUGCAGCAGGGGGAUCUUCGGACCGUUCCCUAUGAGAGGAGCCUAGGUCGGAUUAGCUAGUUGGUGGGGUAAAUACCUGCCAAGCCGACGAUCGGUAACUGGCCUGAGAGGAUGAUCAGUCGCAUUGGAAGUGAGACACGGACAAGACUCCUACGGGAGGCAGCAGAGGGGAAUGUUGGACAAUAGGCGAAAGCAUGAUCCAGCCAUGCCGAGUGUGUGAAGAAGGUCUUCGGAGUGUAAAGCACGUUAAGUGGGGAGGAAGGGCAGUAGCUUGAUACGUUGCUGUAUUGACGGUAACAACAGAAUAAGCACCGGCUAACUACGUG